UACGUAGGGUGCGAGCGUUGUCCGGAGUUACUGGGCGUAAAGAGCUCGUAGGUGGUUUGUCGCGUUGUUCGUGAAAACUCACAGCUCAACUGUGGGCGUGCGGGCGAUACGGGCAGACUGGAGUACUGCAGGGGAGACUGGAAUUCCUGGUGUAGCGGUGGAAUGCGCAGAUAUCAGGAGGAACACCGGUGGCGAAGGCGGGUCUCUGGGCAGUAACUGACGCUGAGGAGCGAAAGCGUGGGGAGCGAACAGG
rnacentral:rRNA from 1 species